rnacentral:misc_RNA from 1 species
AAAAAAACAAUACACAAUCCAGGUCUUAGGUUUUAGGAAAAGCUUUCCAUUGUCAAGGAGCUCAAAUCUCAUUUCGAAAUCUCAACAGAUAUUUACAUGCAACUACAAACUGUUAAUGGACCUUUUCUUCCUCCUACAAAAACAUCACAAAUUUGCUAAGCAGUCUCCUUCUUCCGAUAUGCUAGAAUCAAAUGAUCUCUACUGGAAGUGCAAUUGGCUUUAAGAUGUGCCAAAGUUUCCUGCCCUUUCAAAAUUUGCAGUUCAUCCACUGAAAUUGGUGGAUGCAGAGAGGAUAGGUUGUCAUUAGGGUUGUGCUGCCCUUUAACUAAAAAUAUUUCAACUUCUUCAGGCUCCAAAGCCUUUUUGUGAGCAAUAUAUUCGCAUAGG